rnacentral:rRNA from 1 species
GAUGAACGCUGGCGGCGUGCCUAAUACAUGCGAGUCGAGCGAACAGAUAAGGAGCUUGCUCCUUUGACGUUAGCGGCGGACGGGUGAGUAACACGUGGGUAACCUACCUAUAAGACUGGAAUAACUCCGGGAAACCGGGGCUAAUGCCGGAUAACAUUUAGAACCGCAUGGUUCUAAAGUGAAAGAUGGUUUUGCUAUCACUUAUAGAUGGACCCGCGCCGUAUUAGCUAGUUGGUAAGGUAACGGCUUACCAAGGCAACGAUACGUAGCCGACCUGAGAGGGUGAUCGGCCACACUGGAACUGAGACACGGUCCAGACUCCUACGGGAGGCAGCAGUAGGGAAUCUUCCGCAAUGGGCGAAAGCCUGACGGAGCAACGCCGCGUGAGUGAUGAAGGUCUUCGGAUCGUAAAACUCUGUUAUUAGGGAAGAACAAAUGUGUAAGUAACUGUGCACGUCUUGACGGUACCUAAUCAGAAAGCCACGGCUAACUACGUG